rnacentral:lncRNA from 1 species
CUCUUUUCUCCCCCUGCGCACCCUAUUGUCUGCCGUGCACGGCGUGCCGGACGGCUGCGCAUCCUUUUCGCCUUUUUUUCAUGCCGCUCAAACCAGAAAAAAAGGGGGAUGCGGCUAAUGCCAGGUGACGGUUAGCCGCGCGGCUGAAAAGGCCUGAUCCACGUCAGCAUAGUAGGGACGUCGAUAGUGGAAUGCGCGCGUCCUAGCCGGUCGGCUUGCCGUUGCCUGCCGUUAGAUGCCGUUUUCGGUAGCGCGCCCGCGCACACAAAACCAACCACAGCCGCCAUGUCCAUACAAUGAAUCCUUCUCUAGGCCAACGGACGCAGCGCCAGCGACCAAAGCAAACCGAGCCAGGCCGCGGCAGCAAAGGCGCACAGGACACAAAUGCAUGCUGGGCGCUGAACGAAUCACUUUUUUUGUGUGGGUUUUUAUGUAUUGCAAGC